CGAACGCUGGCGGCGUGCCUAAUACAUGCAAGUAGAACGCUGAAGGAGGAGCUUGCUUCUCUGGAUGAGUUGCGAACGGGUGAGUAACGCGUAGGUAACCUGCCUGGUAGCGGGGGAUAACUAUUGGAAACGAUAGCUAAUACCGCAUAAGAGUAGAUGUUACAUGACAUUUACUUAAAAGGUGCAAUUGCAUCACUACCAGAUGGACCUGCGUUGGAUUAGCUAGUUGGUGAGGUAACGGCUCACCAAGGCAACGAUACAUAGCCGACCUGAGAGGGUGGUCGGCCACACUGGGACUGAGACACGGCCCACACUCCUACGGGAGGCAGCAGUAGGGAAUCUUCGGCAAUGGACGGAAGUCUGACCGAGCAACGCCGCGUGAGUGAAGAAGGUUUUCGGAUCGUAAAGCUCUGUUGUAAGAGAAGAACGAGUGUGAGAGUGGAAAGUUCACACUGUGACGGUAUCUUACCAGAAAGGGACGGCUAACUACGUG
rnacentral:rRNA from 1 species